UGUAAAAUAAGCUAAGAUAAAGCUGUUGGGUUCAUACCCCAAAAAUGAAUAGGCAAAUUCUUUUACAA
rnacentral:tRNA from 1 species